rnacentral:rRNA from 1 species
UAUGUAAUUGGUGCCAGCAGCCGCGUUACUACGGAGGAUCCGAGCGUUAUCCGGAUUUAUUGGGUUUAAAGGGAGCGUAGAUGGGUUGUUAAGUCAGUUGUGAAAGUUUGCGGCUCAACCGUAAAAUUGCAAUUGAUACUGGCAGUCUUGAGUACAGUUGAGGUAGGCGGAAUUCGUGGUGUAGCGGUGAAAUGCUUAGAUAUCACGAAGAACUCCGAUUGCGAAGGCAGCUUACUAACCUGUAACUGACAUUGAUGCUCGAAAGUGUGGGUAUCAAACAGG